GAUGAACGCUGGCGGCGUGCCUAAUACAUGCAAGUCGAGCGAAGCGGGGACGGGUGAGUAACACGUAGAUAACCUCCUAUAAGACUGGGAUAACUUCGGGAAACCGGAGCUCAACCGGAUACUUAUACAUGGAUCCGGGCUGCAUUAGCUAGUUGGUAAGGUAACGGCUUACCAAGGCAACGAUGCAUAGCCGACCUGAGAGGGUGAUCGGCCACACUGGAACUGAGACACGGUCCAGACUCCUACGGGAGGCAGCAGUAGGGAAUCUGCCGCAAUGGGCGAAAGCCUGACGGAGCAACGCCGCGUGAGUGAUGAAGGUCUUCGGAUUGUAAAACUCUGUUAGUAGGGAAGCGGUACCUAAUCAGAAAGCCACGGCUAACUACGUGCCAGCAGCCGCGGUAAUAC
rnacentral:rRNA from 1 species